rnacentral:rRNA from 1 species
GACGAACGCUGGCGGCGUGCUUAACACAUGCCAGUCGAACGGAAAGGCCCUGCUUUUGUGGGGUGCUCGAGUGGCGAACGGGUGAGUAACACGUGAGUAACCUGCCCUUGACUUUGGGAUAACUUCAGGAAACUGGGGCUAAUACCGGAUAGGAGCUCCUGCUGCAUGGUGGGGGUUGGAAAGUUUCGGCGGUUGGGGAUGGACUCGCGGCUUAUCAGCUUGUUGGUGGGGGAGUGGCUUACCAAGGCUUUGACGGGUAGCCGGCCUGAGGGGGAGGCCGACCACAUGGGGUGGGAAUGAGGGCCGGACCCCACUCGGGGGGGAGGAAGGGGGAGUGAAUCCAGCGGGGUGGGAGACAGACGGACGCAGCCCGGGGGGGGGAAGGAGGCCUUUGGUAUGAAAGCCGAUUUCGUCUGUGGGGGACGGUAAUGACGGGAAAUGGAGAAGAAGCCCCGGCUAACUUCGGG